GUCUUUUUGUAUUAAAUAUAAAGUUUAACCUGCCCAUUGAAAAUAUUUUAAAAGGCUGCGGUAUUUUGACCGUACAAAGGUAGCAUAAUCAUUAGUUUUUUAAUUGAAAACUUGUAUGAAUGGUUGAAUGAGAAAUUUACUUUUUUUUUAAAAAUAUUGAAGUUUACUUUUUAAUUAAAAGGUUAAAAUGAAUUUAAAAGACGAGAAGACCCUAUAGAGUUUUAUAAUUAAUUAAGUAUUUUAAAAAUAGAUUUUUAUAAUUUAUAUUUAGUUAAUUAUUUUGUUGGGGUGAUAGUAAAAUUUAAUUAACUUUUAUUUAAAAAAAAAUUCAUUAAUUUAUGAUUAUUUGAUCCAAUUUUAUUGAUUAAAAAAUUAAAUUACCUUAGGGAUAACAGCGUAAUUUUUUUUUAAGUUCAUAUUAAUAAAAAAUUUUGCGACCUCGAUGUUGGAUUAAGAUUAAAUUUAGGUGCAGAAGUUUAAGUUUUAAGUCUGUUCGACUUUUAAAUUCUU
rnacentral:rRNA from 1 species